rnacentral:rRNA from 1 species
GUGGGGAAUAUUGGACAAUGGGCGAAAGCCUGAUCCAGCCAUGCCGCGUGUGUGAAGAAGGUCUUCGGAUUGUAAAGCACUUUAAGUUGGGAGGAAGGGUAGUAACCUAAUACGUUGCUACUUUGACGUUACCGACAGAAUAAGCACCGGCUAACUUCGUGCCAGCAGCCGCGGUAAUACGAAGGGUGCAAGCGUUAAUCGGAAUUACUGGGCGUAAAGCGCGCGUAGGUGGUUAAGUAAGUUGGAAGUGAAAUCCCCGGGCUGAACCUGGGAACUGCUUUCAAGACUGCUGAGCUGGAGUACGGUAGAGGGUGGUGGAAUUGCCUGUGUAGCGGUGAAAGGCGUAGAUAUAAGAAGGAACACCAGUGGCGAAGCCGACCACCUGGACUGAUACUGACACUGAGGUGCGAAAGCGUGGGGAGCAAACAGGAUUAGAAACCCGGGUAGUCC